GACGAACGCUGGCGGCGUGCCUAAUACAUGCAAGUUGAGCGCUGAAGGUUGGUACUUGUACCAACUGGAUGAGCAGCGAACGGGUGAGUAACGCGUGGGGAAUCUGCCUUUGAGCGGGGGACAACAUUUGGAAACGAAUGCUAAUACCGCAUAAAAACUUUAAACACAAGUUUUAAGUUUGAAAGAUGCAAUUGCAUCACUCAAAGAUGAUCCCGCGUUGUAUUAGCUAGUUGGUGAGGUAAAGGCUCACCAAGGCGAUGAUACAUAGCCGACCUGAGAGGGUGAUCGGCCACAUUGGGACUGAGACACGGCCCAAACUCCUACGGGAGGCAGCAGUAGGGAAUCUUCGGCAAUGGAAGAAAGUCUGACCGAGCAACGCCGCGUGAGUGAGGAAGGUUUUCGGAUCGUAAAACUCUGUUGGUAGAGAAGAACGUUGGUGAGAGUGGAAAGCUCAUCAAGUGACGGUAACUACCCAGAAAGGGACGGCUAACUACGUG
rnacentral:rRNA from 1 species